UGAGGAAUCAGCAUCGGCUAACUCCGUGCCAGCAGCCGCGGUAAUACGGAGGAUGCAAGCGUUAUCCGGAAUUAUUGGGCGUAAAGCGUCCGCAGGCGGUUUCACAAGUCUGCUGUUAAAGGUCGGGGCUCAACUCCGGUGAGGCAGUGGAAACUGAGAGACUAGAGUGUGGUAGGGGUAGAGGGAAUUCCCAGUGUAGCGGUGAA
rnacentral:rRNA from 1 species